CAUCUCUCCCCUACGGAAGCCACCAGAGCACAGAACCUCACCAUGGACUGGACGUGGAGGAUUUUCCUGUUGGUGGCAACAGCUACAGGCGCCCACUCCCAGGUGCAGCUGGUGCAGUCUGGGGCUGAGGUGAAGAAGCCUGGGGCCUCAGUGAAGAUCUCCUGCAAGGCUUCUGGAUACACCUUCACCAGCUAUAGCAUGCAUUGGGUGCAACAGGCCCCUGGCCAAGGGCUCGAGUGGAUAGGAUAUAUCAACACCAACACUGGUGGCACAAACUACGCACAGAAGUUCCAGGGCAGAGUCACCAUGACCAGGGACACAUCCACGAGCACAGCCUACAUGGAGCUGAGCAGCCUGAAAUCUGAAGACACAGCCGUGUAUUACUGUGCAAGAGACACAGUGUGA